rnacentral:lncRNA from 1 species
UAGGGUAUGAUUUAGGAUUUAGAGUUUACAUUAGGGUUCGAUUUAGAGUUUAAAGUUUGAUUAGGGUUUGGUUUAGGAUUUAGGAUAUAGUUAGGAUUUAGUUUAGAAUUUAGGAUUUAGUUAGGAUUUUAUUUAGGAUUUAGGAUUUGUUUAGGGUUUGAUUUAGGAUUUAGGAUUUUAUUAGGAUUUAAGAUUCAAUUAGUUUUGGCCUAAAGUUUGAAUGAAGUUCAAUAGGAUUUUAACUAGAAUUAAAUUAAGAUUGAAUUGAGAUGUAUUUGAGUGAUAUUUGUGAUCCUUCUAAUAUUUCUUUAAGAAUUUUUAUUGUUUGUUUGAAAUUUUUUUGAGAUUUUUUUGAAUUUGAUUAAGCUUGCUUAGCAUUAUUAUGGUCUAAUUAGAGCAUUGUUAGUAUUCUAUUAGAAUUAAGAUUUUUGUUAUUAUAAUUUCUAUUCUUCCUUCCAUAGCCAGGUACCCAGAGCAUUCUCAAAUAAGACUUAAUGUAUUACGACAUAUUUGGUGAAUCCGACGUGAAAUGCUUGAGUUGGAAGGAAUUUGAUUUUCUAAAAUUAUUUGAAUUUUAGAGAAGAAAGACAAGAAAGUUGGAAGAAGAGCUUUGAGUGAUAUGUGAAUUGAAGCUUUUGAAUUCUUAGAGCUUUGGAGACUAUCUUAAAAUACAAUGGUAAUAUUUGGAUUAUCAUGGAGUAUUAUAAGGCUUUAUAGAUAUGUUGGAGUAUUUUGAAGUAUCAUUAGGUAUUUAUUGGAGUAUUUCAAGGAAAUUUUUUGAUCCUUGUAGAACAAAAUGGAAAGUGUAUCAUCAAGAUUUUUGUAUAGGUCGAAUAUUAUAGAUGGAUCAAAUACUAGUGAAUUUUUUAAGGCUUUCUAUAUAUAUAUAGAGGAGCAACAAAGAAUGCAAGUAAUUGAAAAAGAUAUUACAAAGGCAUUACAAGGAAUCAUCAACAAAUUUGGGAGAUUUGAAGGAUGCAACAUCACUAAAUUUUUGCAAGUUUAUACAUGUGACAUGGAAACAUUCCAAAUCCCUGAGGCAAAGAUGAUCUUAAGCUUACAUUUGGCUAUUGAACCUAGAUUUCAUAAACAAGUGAAGAAAUUGCUUGGAGGGGGUGUAGAAACAUGGUCAAAAUUUUAAGAACUUUUGAAGAAAGAAUUUAUUGAUGGAAAUGAAGAUAAGAUUAUCAAGCGAAAGUUUUUGGAUUGGGUAGAAUUGCAAUCAAGCAAGCAUAUGGAUCUUUGUGAAUUCUUAGAAUAAUUUGAUAGGAGAUUUUAUCAACUCUCAUCUUUGGAGAGACGAUCAUUAGGUGCUUUAAAGAUAGAUUUGUUUUUACAUGGUUUUCAUGAUACCUUGGAAGAUGAGGUUUUCAUGCUUCUUGAAGAUGAGUCUACGGAGAGUGAUUAUACUAAUAAUUGGAAAAAGUUGAAAGAAGAAGUGGUUUUUUUAGCAAGGCAAUAAGAAACAAAAGCUAAAAAAGUUUUAAUAUGGCCUAAGAAAUCUUCUACUUUGGCUUCUAUGUCAUCUUUAUCAAUGCAAGAGACUAAUCUAAAUAAAAGAGAAAUGGAAGAGCAAGUAGGGGAUUUUAAUGGAAAAACCAAUUUUUUACAAAUGAAAGAAAUUGGAUCUUAUAUCAAGGGUGGUGAAGGAGAGAAGAAAGAUUCUUUUCAAACUAUUACUAUGGAAGGCCAAGGUAUCCAAAAAUUUGAAGGUAAUGCGAAGAUUAAGAAUUUGGAAACUAAUGACAAUGCAGUUGGAAGCUAUGGCUAUUCUAUAUUGAAUAAGUUUGUACAAGUUGAUGAUGGUAAUUUGGGUGAAAAAUCUCUUGGUGAUAAAAAGGUAUUUUCUACAUUUGAAGGACGUGAGGAUGUUUUGCCUAAUACUUUGGAUUAUGUUGAAGAAUUUAAGGUUAAACCUUUACAAAAAAUGGAUUAUGGAUCUAUUGAAGGUUAUAAUCAUAAAGAUAGUAUGAAUUCAUAAUAUUAUGAUGUGAGAAGUGGUGGGAUUAUGCAUGGAUCUGAUGAUGAAAGUCAAAUUGUAUAUGGCUAUGAGACCACAUAUGAGUUGGAUGAAAGAAGUUAUGAGUUUUCAUAUGAUUAUUAUGAAGAGGGUUAUGAGAUUGCAUAAGGUUAUGAUACUAAAUAUGGUUGUGAAACCAUAAAGGAUUAUUCUGAAAGUUAUGAGACUUUUCAAGAACAUGAGAUUUUGAAAGGACAUGAGAUUUUUCAAUAUUAUGAGAUUAUACAAUGCUUUGAGACAACAAAAGAUUAUGAUGUUUUACAAGGAUGCAUUCAAGAAGAUAUGAAGGAUGUUAUAUAAGAUUAUAUGGCAAAUAAAGAUUAUGGGAUAAAAGAUAAGGAUGCUAAGUCAUUGACUAUGAUUAAGUUAAUUGUGAGCACUUCACUUUUGGAUCAAGGUCAAAGUUACAUAAUGUACAUGUAAUGGGAACACAAUUGGAUUUUGACAAAGAUAAGAUUCAUCAUAAAGUAUGGAAUUCAAGGGUUGAAAAUCUAAAAAUCUUCAAAAAUAAUGACAUGAGAAAUGGAUUUAAAGAUUACAUGGACAUAUUAAAUGGGACUUAGAAUCAAAGAAAUAAGAAAAAAGAUACAAGCAAGAUGUAUGUGGCUAUGUGGAAGAGGUUUGAAUUCAAUCUUUUCAUUUCAAAUUUUGUACCUCGACAAUGGGUUGGUCAUGUGCAAAAGAAGAUAUUUGCAAACUACUUGCACAUGUGGAGUAAAUGAAAACAUUAGCAUUAAAAAAAAAAAAAAAAUAAAAAUAAAAAAAAAAAAAAAAUUGGAGAAGUAUCAUUGUAAAGUAAGACUAUGAAGGUUUAAAAAGGAAGAUACAUUUACAAGAUAUAGAUGUGUCACGGACCAAAAAUACAAACAAGAAAUCUAAACAAGAAGUUCAAGAAGAAAUGACAAGAACUAGAUUAUCAGAUGAGUACAAGAGCAACGCCAAGAGAAUUGAGCUAGAGCUUCAAGAGAUGCGUUGUCGAGACUGAAGAACUCUUCAGCCUCGACUCCUAUAUAUACUACUGGCCUAUGGUUCUAAAGAAGCGCAUCAAGAAGCUUCCCAAGAACUAUGAAGCUUCUCGAGCAACUACCCAAGAGUUAGGAAGCUUUUCAAGUAACUUCCUAGAAUCUACUAGAAUAUUCUAAGAAUCUUCUAGAGCCUUCUAAGGAAAUCUUUAGGGAAUCUUCAAAGAAUCUUUAGGAAAUCUUCAAAGAAUCUUUAGGGAAUCUUUGAAGGAUAUUCUAAGAGAAUAUUCAAGGAAUCUUCUAGAAGUUUCUAGAGACUUUUUUCUAGAAGGUUCUAGAAACUUGUCUCUAGAAAGGUCUUAGGAGUAUGUCCCUAACAUCACCUCCUCCUUUAGCUUCGAGGUCUCCGAGAAGCAAUGUUAUGGUCAGUCUAUACCAACGCAAGAAAAUGAAGAUCUGACGCAUAACCUCUGCUAUGAACUCCAAUUGUUGUUCACGAGGCAAGUGAUUCAAUGGUCCUUGAAGCCAACGGUAGUGGCCCACGCCUUCAACUUCUGACCAAGCAUGAACCUCCGUGUCUUCAUUGUGAAAUUGUCCUGCAAACACUCCUUCUGGCUGACCAUUGUAGGCAGGCUCGACCUCAAAUACGAUCACCAGCGAUCUAUUGUUCGGAAUCCUUCGACGUCGUCGUGGUGCAAGCGGUUCUUCAUCUCGCGGUCGUCUUCGUGAGCUAGUUGCUUGAGAUGACAUGACAAGUGUAGUAUCUUGGCUAUCUAUAUUCAAAGGCUAAAACAAUAAGAAUAAACUUGGGCUACUAACAAAGUUCUACGCUAUCUUGGAGAGAAUGACUACAUCAACUAUGGAUUUUGGUGGUGCUCUCUCCUCUUUUCUGUUUUCUGGAUGAGCAAGCUUCAGUAAGAAGCUAUCGUCGAACCGGCUUGGGUUUCUCAGGAUAUCGUCGAUGAAACUCCUGUACCUUUUGUGGCGCAUUCGCGAGAUUUUUGGCCGGCUCCCAUGUUCGUUCAUUAAUAUUGUAACCGCUCCAAUGCACAAAGUAUUCUAAUUUACCCCGUCUUUGCCGUGAAUCCAGGACCUUUUUCACCUCGUAUUCUUCGUGGUUCUCUAUUUCUAUGCUAGGUGGUGGACAUUGUACUCUUCCAGGAAAAGACAAUUCUCGAUAAGGCUCCAACAAAGAAACAUGAAAGACAGGAUGUACCUUCAUAGUAGCUGGUAACUCCAGACGAUACGCUACAUGAUUGAUCUGCUUCUGGAUAACAAAUGGUCCCAAUCUCCGAUAGUCGAAUUUGUCACAUGGCCGCUUGAUCUUAAUAUUUCGUCGAAGCAGCCAAACUUUGUCUCCAAUCGUGAAUUUAGGUGCCUGAUUCUGAAAUUUGUCCGCGGAUGCCUUGUAAGAUUCUUGGGCAGUUUGCAAUUGAAGCUUCAAUGUAGUUUGAAGCUGCGAAAGCUCCUUCACCAAUCCUUCAACUGCCGGAUUGUUAAUCGUUGACGAACUCCAUAAGUCAAGCUUCGGAUCGUAUCCAUAAUUGGAAAAGAAUGGCGUUUGUUGAGUUGACGCAUGAAGGGUGUUGUUAUAUGCGAACUCGACUAGCGGUAGAUAUGCGACCCAAUCAUCUUGUUGAUAGUUGAUGGUGCAACGUAAAUAUUGCUCUAAAACUUGAUUCAUCCGUUCUGUUUGGCCGUCCGUUUGAGGAUGAAAUGCCGAAGAAAGCUUGAUAUCCACCUUCAAUAUUUCAAAAAGAGAUUUCCAAAACUUUGACACAAACUGGGUUCCUCGAUCCGAUACGAUAUCAUCUGGUAGACCAUGAUAUUGAUACACAUUAUCAAAAAAGAGUCUUGCUGUGUCUUCGCUUGACGAUGUCUUCUUACAAGGGACAAAAUGCGCCAUCUUUGUAAGCCGGUCUACGACAACAAAAAUGUUGUCAAAUGAAUUCGAUGGUGAUAGAUCCGUAAUAAAGUCCAUGGAAACCGAAGACCAUGGUCGGCGCGGAAUAGGCAAUGGCUGUAGAAGUCCAUAAGGCCGAUGUCGAGGGUUUUUGGAUCUUGAACAAAUGUCACAAGAUACAACAAAAUCUUUCACAUCCUUCCAUAUUUGAGGCCACUAGAAAUCGCGGGAAAUAAGUUCUAUGGUCUUAUUGAAUCCAAAAUGUCCUGCAGUUGGAAAGUCAUGACAAGAUUGAAGAACUCGGAGUCGUGUUGGCACUUUUGGGAUAUACAACCGCUCUUCGAAAUACACUAGAUCUCCUUCCAUCUUGAAUUUAUCAUCACUAGCAUGUUGCUUGAUAUCAAGGGCUAGAGAAUCUUCAAUGGUUGCGACCCGUACCUGGUCGAGGAAGUCAGCAUCAAUUGGUACAAUAGCUACGUUGAGCCGAAAUUUCUCUGGCUUCAACAAUGUCGUGCACUGUUGAUCAAAUGCUGUAUCUCCAGCCUUUGGCACGAGAUAUGAUCUCCUUGAUAAUACAUCGGACAACCCUUGUUGCUUCUCAGGCCGAUAAGUAAUAACAAAGUCGAACUUGGAUAGCGACAUACUCCACCGAGCUUGACGCCGAUUCAAAACCCGAGCCGACAUAAAAUACUCCAAAUUCUUAUGAUCCGUAUAUACGGUCACUGGAUGUGCAGUUCCUUUGAGAAAGUGGCGCCACUCUUGGAAAGAAUCUACUAUAGCAAGGAGUUCCUUAUCGUGGAUCUCAUAGUUGAUCUCAACAGCAGAGAAUUUUCGAGAAUAGAACGCAACUGGGUGGAGCUUCUCAUCUACGCCCAUCUGUGAAAGUACAGCUCCCAAAGCAAAAUCCGAAGCAUCUGUCUCCAAAUAAAAGGCCUUUGUAAAGUCCGGAUGUACCAAGAUUGGAGCUGUAGUAAAUACCAUCUUCAAAUCUUGAAAUGCUUUUUCUGCGAUAGGUCCCCAUUCAAGCUUGUCCUGACACGUUAACCAAGUGAGGGGGGCAGCAACUUGAGAAUAAUUCUUGAUGAAGAUCUGAUAGUAGUUAGUAAAUCUAAGAAAACAUUGUACGUCCCUAACCGUCUUCGGAACUUCCCAAGUCAUGAUUGCUUCCACCUUCUUUGGAUCCAUCUUCAAGCCUUCUGUAGUCGCGAUGAAUCCCAAAAACUCCAUCUCAAUUUGGUAAAAUAAGCACUUCUCCAAUUUGGCAUAGAGUCCUCGCUCCCGUAGUUUUUUGAGUACCGGACGAACGUACUUCUCAUGUUCUUCCUCGUUCUUAGAAAAUAUCAAAAUAUCAUCUAGAUAGAUGACAACAAAAUCGUCUAGAUGCUCUCGAAAGAUGUCAUUCAUCAUGUGUUGAAAGACCGCUGGAGCAUUAGUAAGACCAAAUGGCAUGACAUUGUAUUCAAAAUGGCCAUACCUUAUUCGGAAAGCUGUCUUCCAUUCAUCUCCUUCCUUGAUUCGCACAAGGUUGUAAGCUCCCCUUAGGUCAAUCUUUGUAAAGAUCCUUGCACGCCCAAGUUGUUCUAGAAGACCAGAGAUCAAAGGCAGUGGGUAGCGAUUCUUUUUUGUCACCUUGUUGAGACCUCGAUAGUCCACGCACAUCCGUAGUGAGCCAUCCUUCUUCUUCACAAAUAAGAUUGGUGCCCCAGCUGGCGACUUCGAAUGACGGAUGAAGUUCUUGGCUAGAUUCUCAUCAAUGUACUUCCGCAACUCAGUCAACUCCGUCUGCGACAAAUUGUAGAUUGGUCCAAAAGGUGGUUGUGCUCCUUCUUGCAAUUCAAUGGCACAGUCAUAGGGUCGAUGCUUUGGCAGCAUAUCAGCAUUCUUCUUUUCAAAGACAUCUUUGAAUUCUUCAUACUGCUUUGGAAUAACCAAAGUCGGAGUUGUAUCUUCUCGAGUCGGAGUUGCGAAGAUGACAAGAGAUGUAUUUUGUUUGGCUUCCUUCAUGAAAGCCCUUGCACCUAUAAACAAGGAUUUGUUUCUAGACAUUGUCUUGGCAGAUUCCACCUUCAAGGAGUUUGUUGGAAAUGUCACUUUCUGCAACUUCCAAUCUAUCAAUGGAUUAUAUCUAUCAAGCCAAGAUAGUCCCAAAAUAAUAGGACAUGAAGUGGUCUUGAUAACAUUAAAUACAAUAUUGCUCUCAUGGUUUUCAAGACGUACCUUCAAUGGUUUAGUUUCAUGGAUAACAUUGCCCGAAGACAAUGGUCGUCCGUCUAUGACUUCUACAUGGACAGGCUUAAGUUUCUUUACAAGAGAAAUAUUGUGAAGCUUGGCAAACUCUUCAUCUAUAAAGCAAGCGGAUGCACCUGAGUCUAAUAAAGCAUCGACUUGUAGUUCUUGAAUACCCAGAUGUAAAGGUACCAUAAAACAAUCUAAAGGUUGAGCUGAGAGAAAGGGACCUUGAUUAAUUUUGGAUGUUGAGAUGUCCAGCCGCACGGUCCCUAUUGUGGCUGGGCGUCCUUGUUUUCUUGCAUGCUUGUACUCCUGAGUCUUGUUGUUUGAGGCUUCUGUUUCUUCCGACAAUCUACAGCUUUAUGGCCCACUUCUCCACAAUAUAAACACAAGUUUUGUUCAAACCGUCGCUUCCUUUCCUCAGCUGUGAGGGGUUUGAAACGUACCGCAUCAAUUUGCAUGGGUUCAGGAUCUGUGGAGUGAUUCUCUGGACCUUUUGAAAAUGUAGCAAAUACUCCAUCAUUUCUCCAGCCUGAUUGUCUUUCUUGUCGUAAUUCAAAGAGGCGGUUGUCACAAAUAAUUGUCUGAGAUAUAAGUUCUUCUAAAGUAUCCGCCUUAGGCAUGGUGAUCAAUAAGUUCUUGACAUCAUCUCUUAGUCCAUAUCGAAAUCGUGUCAUGAACGUCUUAUCAUUCCAAUCAAGAUCACAUGUAAGCUGUUGAAAUUCUGCAGCAUAGAUUGCAGCAGAACGUGAUCCUUGUCGCAGAUUUUGUAUCUUUCUUUUAGCCACUCUUUCUCGAUCGCUAUCUCCAAACGCAGCAGUAAGUCUCUCUAUGAAAGCCUCUAGGUCAUACAAUAUUGGAGAAUCCUUCUCUAAUAGUGGAGCAAGCCAAGAGCAAGCAUUUCCUGAUAGAAGAGUACCUAUGAAAGCAACCUGGGUAAAUCCAUUCGGAUAACGAGAAGGGUAUAGGCGUAAGUAAAGCCGUACUUGUUGCACAAAACCUCGGAAGUUGGCUCUUGUUUCGUCAAACUUGUCUAGCAUACUCGCUUUUGGUUCUUUCGUACUAAUCCUUGAAGUAUCUAUAGGGGUCGUAUGUGAUACAUGUCUUGCUUCUCUCAGUCGAAUAAUCUCUUGUUGUAGGCUAUGAAUUUUGCGUCUAGCUUCUUCGGUCACUAGAUCAAUUUGAGGUUCUUUACUUGGAUUGCGAAGAAAUGCAAUCUCCUUUCGUACACUAUUCAUAAGAGCUUGAAGAUCUACAAGAGUUGCCACUCUAUUGUCUACUUGUGGAGAUGGACUGUCUAUGACCUGGUCUACUUCCAUAUUUAGAGAAUAGAUGGAUUAAAAUUUUGAGAGAAGAAGGAAUUGCUAAGUCUCUUGGAGAAAAUUGUAGCACUACCUGUCACUAAAACCUACUCGGAGAAAAGAAAAAAAGAAAAAAAAACACUAAACGAUUUCAGUUUUAGAGGAGGGUAAUCCGCAACCUCUAAAAAUGCCUCAAUGCUUUCGAGAAGAGGGGUAAUCCGCACUCUAUCAAGAAGGCAAAGCUCUGAAAUCGAUGUUAACAAUCUUUUCUACUAGCUAUGCUAAACAAAAAGAAGGAAUUAAUAUCAGUCCAAGAGAGGGUAAUCCGCAACCCUUAGAACGCUCAAGUAUCUCCAAGGAAAGGGGUAGUCCACUCUCUGCCUCAAAGAACUAAGCUCUGAUAUUGUGAUUCAGAAAAUAUCAGUUUAGAGGAAGGUAAUCCGCAACCCCUAAAGCGCUAGAAUACCUUCAAGAAGAGGGGUAAUCCGCUCUCAAACAAGAAGGAUUCAGCUCUGAUAUUAAGAUAAAGGCAGUCUCGACAAACUGUCACGGACCAAAAAUACAAACAAGAAAUCUAAACAAGAAGUUCAAGAAGAAAUGACAAGAACUAGAUUAUCAGAUGAGUACAAGAGCAACGCCAAGCGAAUUGAGCUAGAUCUUCAAGAGAUGCGUUGUCGAGACUGAAGAACUCUUCAGCCUCGACUCCUAUAUAUACUACUGGCCUAUGGUUCUAAGGAAGCGCAUCAAGAAGCUUCCCAAGAACUAUGAAGCUUCUCGAGCAACUACCCAAGAGCUAGGAAGCUUCUCAAGUAACUUCCUAGAAUCUACUAGAAUAUUCUAAGAAUCUUCUAGAGCCUUCUAAGAGAAUCUUUAGGGAAUCUUCAAAGAAUCUUUAGGAAAUCUUCAAAGAAUCUUUAGGGAAUCUUUGAAGAAUAUUCUAAGAGAAUAUUCAAGGAAUCUUUUGGAAGUUUCUAGAGACUUCUUUCUAGAAGGUUGUAGAAACUUGUCUCUAGAAAGGUCUAAGGACUAUGUCCCUAACAAGAUGCCUUUGAUUUAAGUUUUAUUGGAAAAAAAAUAAAGAAAAAAAAAGAAAAAAGAUUUUGGAGAAGUAUCAUUGUAAAGUAAGACUAUGGAGGUCUAAAAAGGGAGGUACAUUUACAAGAUAUAGAUGCCUUUGAUUUAAGUUUUAUUGGAAAAAAAAAAAAAAAAAAAAAAAAAAAAAAAAAAAAAGAUUUUGGAGAAGUAUAAUUGUCAAGCAAGACUAUGGAGGUAUAAAAAGGGAGGUACUCUUUACAAGAUAUAGGUGCCUUUGAUUUAAGUUUUAUUAGAAAAAAAAUAAAAAUAAAAAUCAAAAUGAUUGAAAAAGAAUUAUGUGAAUUGGAAACAUUAGAAGAUGAUGAAAGAUUAUUGGUAUUUAUCAAGAAAAUGGAUUGGAUGAUUCUUGGAGAUAAUUACAUAUAUUGGAUUAAAAGAUGAUGACAAUGGAAGCAAGUGAAGAUACUCAAACAAAAGCAAACAUAAAUAAAUAUAGAAGACUUUGUCAAAGACAUAAAUCUUUUAAGACAACAAGAUGAUUUUGACUUGAAUAGCAAAUAUAAAGAAGAAAAAUUGGAUGAGGACAUCGAAAAUAUUGUAUGAAUCAAACAAAGUUGGUGCAUACCAAAGGAUGCGCAAGUUCAGAGGGGGUGGAUGUCGUGUUAUAACACGACUAUAUGGUAAAAGAUGAUAAUAUGGAUCUUAUUAUAGAAGAGCCAAGUUAAAAGAAAACGUAGAAAAAUAUGGAUAAAAGAUAGGAAGGUAGUAAAACUAUUAGUAGUAAUGCUGCUCUUUUAGAAAAAAUAGCUUCUACUUACUUUGUAGGGCUAAAAAUAAGGCAAAAUAAGGUAGAUUAGAAAAAUAAAUAAUAGACAUCUUUAGGAGGAAGUUAAGAGUAAAUUCUAGUAAAAAUUACUUAAAAAAAAACUAGAUGUUGAUAUCCGGAGAGGGCCGGUUAUGAACCAAGGUCGAAAUCAGAUCUUGAGGCACAAAACUGAGUCUCGACGACAAGUCCGGGACUCUUUGGUAAAUCGGAGAGUGGGAUUUUAUAGUAUAUUGAAUAAGGUUUCCAUGAGCGUUGAUUUUGGGUGAUGUAGAGUUGAUAUGACUUUGUAAGAGCUUUGCAAAAUCAAGGUUGGUUUCAGAUUACAUGGGUUUUAUGAAAUAAAAUAGGGUCUACGUUUUGGGUGAUUUCAAGAGUUUUGUAAUAGAUCUAUGGGUGAAAUUUUGUGGAUUUAUGGUUAUAUUUUUUUUUAAUAUGUAUCUUGAAUUUGAGCUCGAUCUAACGAUUGAAUUGAGGAAUAUUGAGGUUUAAGUGGGUUAAGGUCUCAGAAAGUAGAAUUUUAGGUCUAGUGGGGAUUUUUAAGGUUUCUUGUAAUCUACUAGUUGGAUUGGAGUGAAACUUACAUGAAAGGAUAUUAGACUUUUUUUUUCUAUAUGUAUGAGAAUUUUGAGAUCAAUCGAACGGUGCAAAGAAGAGAUAUUGGCCUUAGAAGAUUAACAUUACAAUUGGAGAAGGAGGCCGGCUAAUACCCGAGCACAUUUUUGAGAUUAUUGUCAAUUUGGUAAUCCGGAUUCUUUUCAAUUUUUAUGUGCUUUUUUUUAACUUAUUUUUUUAGAAGUGUGAAAAAUUUGAGAUAAGAUCAAUAAUUUAUUCAUUAGUUAUUGAGGUUUAAAUUUAUUGUAGGAAUUAUUAGGGUUUGAUUUAGGGUUUAGGAUUUGGAUUCGGGUUUGAUUUAGGAUUUAAGAUUUGGUUAGGAUUUGAUUUAGGAUUUAGGAUUUAGAGUUUGGAUUAAGAUUUGAUUUAAGAUUUAAGAUUUUGAUUAAGGUUUGAUUUAGGAUUUAUGAUUUGGUUUAGGAUUUGAUUAGGAUUUGGUUUAGGAUUUGGUUGGGGUUUGGUUUAAGAUUUAGGAUUUGAAUUAGGAUUUGAUUUAGGAUUUAGAAUUUUAUUAGGAUUUAAGAUUCAAUUAUUUUUGGCCUAAGUUUUAAAUGAAGUUCAAUAGGAUUUUAACUAGAAUUAAAUUAAGAUUGAAUUGAGAUGUAUUUGAGUGAUAUUUGUGAUCCUUCUAAUAUUUCUUUAAGAAUUUUUAUUGUUUGUUAGAAAUUUUUUUGAGAUUUUUUUGAAUUUGAUUAAGCUUGUUGAGCAUUAUUAUGGUCUAAUUAGAGCAUUAUUAGUAUUCUAUUAGAAUUAAGAUUUUUGUUAUUGUAAUUUCUAUUCUUCCUUCUACAGCCAAGUACCCAGAG